AUACGAAGGGGGCUAGCGUUGUUCGGAAUUACUGGGCGUAAAGCGCGCGUCGGCGGAUUGGUCAGUUAGGGGUGAAAUCCCAGGGCUUAACCCUGGAACUGCCUCUAAUACUGCCAGUCUUGAGUUCGGGAGAGGUGAGUGGAAUUCCUAGUGUAGAGGUGAAAUUCGUAGAUAUUAGGAAGAACACCAGUGGCGAAGGCGGCUCACUGGCCCGAUACUGACGCUGAGGCGCGAAAGCGUGGGGAGCAAACAGGAUUAGAAACCCUAGUAGUCC
rnacentral:rRNA from 1 species